rnacentral:RNase_P_RNA from 1 species
AGCCAUGUAAACCCCAUCCGAAGCAAGACCAAACAGGGAACGAUAGACUUGCCCGGUCUGUUUCCAGGUAGGUCGCUCGAGGCUGACGGCAACGUCAGCCCUAGACAGAUGAUCAUUCGUGCCGCUGUGAGAGCAGCGGCAGUGACAGAACCCGGCUUAUCGCUGCGGUUGCCAA